ACGACGUGAUCAGUAACACAACACCAGGCGACAGUGGAGGACAUGAAGCCAUGUUGAACAUUCUGCUCCAUCUGUCCCAAUCAGGAGCCACCAGUCUUCUGAUGUUAAACUUUCAGUAGGACUUGGCAUGUGUGGAAUCGCAGCCAAGUCGGAUCUGAGGACAGAGACCAGACAGUCACCAGAGGAAAUCCUGAGUUGAGUUGAGCAACGAUACGUACAGAUUGUGAACCGUGAAGGAUGGACAGGCUGGUGUGUGUUUCCCCUUAAGGGUUUUGAUCAAAGGUCCAGCUUGGAAAGCCACCGGAUGUUGGCGCAAACCAUGAAGAAGACGA